AUGGGAGAUGAUAAGGAAACACAGGACUUUCCAGUGUGCAGUCUUCGAGAAAGGCUGACAGUGUGUCACAUCCCUUGGUGGUGUGAGAAAACAGACCUGAGAAGCAGUGUCUUUGCUCAGUCUCUCCACGUGUUUGUGGCAUGUUCCUCAGCUUGGAACCCCCCUGGGUCCUGGCCUGGUGAGCAUUCCUCCCCAGCUCCCCGACACCUGCUUUCGAUACAGGAAACUUGUCAGGGGUGCACCAACUGUGUUCCGUGUGGUCACAUGACCUGGGUCAGUCUCACGCCAGCCGUUCCCUGGAAGUCACCCGGGGUAGGUAGGUGAAAGAACGGGAGGGGGUGGUUAUAGCAAUGGAUCGGAAUCCAGGGCUGGCAGAAGGGCGACAGCCUGGCUCAGCGACCG
rnacentral:lncRNA from 1 species